GCCACAGUUGAGAAACCGAAUUCAGAUAUCAAUAUUUUAUCACUGUUAUUUUGAAUCGUGGUGUCUUUUUCUUGCCAAUUUGCGAUUGCGUCGCUAGUACUUUCUCUGUUUUAUUCUUGAUUGGUUGUUUUCUUUGGACUGCUCCACUUCAGGUGGAGUUAUAUAUUGGACAGAGAAUAGCAGGACAGAAAACAUGACGAUUUCUUGGGGCUGGAACACAUUAAGGGUUUGACUUGAACCAGCGACAUGCUUACGGAUACCUAACAAAAAGGUCCAAAGACACUGAUAUCUGCUCCAGAUGCUCUACUGUUUGCUGGAAUUUCGACAAACAUCUGCCCUGUGGACGAUGUUGAUGCUCGGACAAUCUUUGUCACUAAUGUAAUAAAUUGUACAUAUCGUAUUCGUGGCUGAGAUAAAUCUUUUGUGUCUUUGCCUUGUUUCCUGUUCUUGUUCAUUCUGUACUAGUUUAGUAUUGUAGGUAGUUUUCACUUCCAUUCUUCUUUUUUCUGUACAAAGGUUCUUAUUCCGUAUGACCGGUUUUUAUACAUUCCUUGAGGUAGGUUGUUUAAAUCACUCUCUUGCGCGUUGCAGUAUGCAUUUUUGUAUGAAAAAUCUGUCUUUUUACGGGAUGCUAUCCCGUGAUUCUUGGAGAUUGACUUCUGAUUUCAUCGUAGGUUGUAUAUUUCUAUUACUAUUAUUGUAAAUUUAUGGUUAUUCUGCUGGAACAUCUAUAUCUCCUUAGGUGGUAAGAUUCCUAAAGUAACAAUGCCCAACGUCGAGCAACUGGUUGCUAAAGAUGCGAAAGGUAGAGUACUGAUGGGUAAGAGUUUGUUUUUGAGGGUUGUAUCUGACAUUUGGGUUUUUUCUAAUCUCUCAAGACUUGUACUGAAUGAAUAAUAGCUCGUUCCCAUAAACUUUUUGAAUGUUGUUUGUUUUUCUUUUCCUUUCUUCAUAUUAGGAUUAAUCCCUAAGCAGGUUCAUUGGGUAGGAUUGUAAUAAACAUUUUCCAAUUUAAAGAUGGAACUGACCGUUGUAAGGAUGCUCACGAAUCUGUCGUGAACGGUUCCCCUGUUUCUGAAGAGUUUAAGUUACAGGUGAUCAAAGAAGAAGCUAGCGGAAGAGAAAAAAAUUGUUGUGUGUUUUUUUUCUAGGCCACAGUUGAGAAACAGAAUUCAGAUAUCAAUAUUUUAUCACUGUUAUUUUGAAACGUGGUGUCUUUUUCUUGCCAAUUUGCGAUUGCGUCGCUAGUACUUUCUCUGUUUUAUUCUUGAUUGGUUGUUUUCUUUGGACUGCUCCACUUCGGGUGGAGUUAUAUAUUGGACAUUGAAUAGGAGGACAAAAAACAUGACGAUUUCUUGAGGCUGGAACACAUUAAGGGUUUGUCUUGAACCAGCGACAUGCUUACUGAUACCCAGCAAAAAGGUCCAAAGACACUGACAUCUGCUCCAGAUGCUCUACUGUUUGCUGGAAUUUCGACAAACAUCAGCCCUGUGGAUGAUGUUGAUGCUCGGACAAUCUUUGUAAGUAAUGUAAUAAAUUGUACGUAUCGUAUUCGUGGCUGAGAUAAAUCUUGUGUGUCUUUGCCUUGUUUCCUGUUCUUGUUCUCUGUGCUAGUUUAGAACUGUAGGUAGUUUUCACUUCCAUUCUUCUUUUUUCUGUACAAAGGUUCUUAUUCCGUAUGACUGCUUUUUAUACAUUCCUUGAGGUAGGUGGUUUAAAUCACUCUCUUGUGCGUUGCAAUAUGCAUUUUUGUAUGAAAAAUCUGUCUUUUUACGGGAUGCUAUCCCGUGAUUCUUGGAGAUUGACUUCUGAUUUCACCGUAGGUUGUAGAUUUCUAUGACUAUUAUUGUAAAGUUAUGGUUAUUCUGCUGGAACAUCAAUAUCUCCUUAGGUGGUAAAAUUCCUAAAGUAACAAUGCCCAACGUCGAGCAACUGGUUGCUAGAGAUGCGAAAGGUAGAGUACUGAUGGGAUUAAUCCCUAAGCAGGUUCAUUGGGUAGGAUUGUAAUCAACAUUUUCCAAUUUAAAGAUGGAACUGACCGUUGUAAGGAUGCUCAAGAAUCUGUCGUGAACGGUUCCCCUGUUUCUGAAGAGUUUAAGUUACAGGUGAUCAAAGAAGAAGCUAGCGGAAGAGAAAAAAAUUGUUGUGUGUUUUUUCUCUAGGCCACAGUUGAGAAACCGAAUUCAGAUAUCAAUAUUUUAUCCCUGUUAUUUUGAAUCGUGGUGCCUUUUUCUUGCCAAUUUGCGAUUGCGUCGCUAGUACUUUCUCUGUUUUAUUCUUGAUUGGUUGUUUUCUUUGGACUGCUCCACUUCGGGUGGAGUUAUAUAUUGGACAUUGAAUAGGAGGACAGAAAACAUGACGAUUUCUUGAGGCUGGAACGCAUUAAGGGUUUGUCUUGAACCAGCGACAUGCUUACUGAUACCCAGCAAAAAGGUCCAAAGACACUGACAUCUGCUCCAGAUGCUCUACUGUUUGCUGGAAUUUCGACAAACAUCUGCCCUGUGGAUGAUGUUGAUGCUCGGACAAUCUUUGUAAGUAAUGUAAUAAAUUGUACGUAUCGUAUUCGUGGCUGAGAUAAAUCUUGUGUGUCUUUGCCUUGUUUCCUGUUCUUGUUCUUUCUGUGCUAGUUUAGUACUUUAGGUAGUUUUCACUUCCAUUCUUCUUUUUUCUGUACAAAGGUUCUUAUUCCGUAUGACUGGUUUUUAUACAUUCCUUGAGGUAGGUGGUUUAAAUCACUCUCUUGUGCGUUGCAAUAUGCAUUUUUGUAUGAAAAAUCUGUCUUUUUACGGGAUGCUAUCCCGUGAUUCUUGGAGAUUGACUUCUGAUUUCACCGUAGGUUGUAGAUUUCUAUGACUAUUAUUGUAAAGUUAUGGUUAUUCUGCUGGAACAUCAAUAUCUCCUUAGGUGGUAAAAUUCCUAAAGUAACAAUGCCCAACGUCGAGCAACUGGUUGCUAGAGAUGCGAAAGGUAGAGUACUGAUGGGAUUAAUCCCUAAGCAGGUUCAUUGGGUAGGAUUGUAAUCAACAUUUUCCAAUUUAAAGAUGGAACUGACCAUUGUAAGGAUGCUCAAGAAUCUGUCGUAAACGGUUCCCCUGUUUCUGAAGAGUUUAAGUUACAGGAGGACAGAAAACAUGACGAUUUCUUGAGGCUGGAACACAUUAAGGGUUUGUCUUGAACCAGCGACAUGCUUACUGAUACCCAGCAAAAAGGUCCAAAGACACUGACAUCUGCUCCAGAUGCUCUACUGUUUGCUGGAAUUUCGACAAACAUCAGCCCUGUGGAUGAUGUUGAUGCUCGGACAAUCUUUGUAAGUAAUGUAAUAAAUUGUACGUAUCGUAUUCGUGGCUGAGAUAAAUCUUGUGUGUCUUUGCCUUGUUUCCUGUUCUUGUUCUCUGUGCUAGUUUAGAACUGUAGGUAGUUUUCACUUCCAUUCUUCUUUUUUCUGUACAAAGGUUCUUAUUCCGUAUGACUGGUUUUUAUACAUUCCUUGAGGUAGGUGGUUUAAAUCACUCUCUUGUGCGUUGCAAUAUGCAUUUUUGUAUGAAAAAUCUGUCUUUUUACGGGAUGCUAUCCCGUGAUUCUUGGAGAUUGACUUCUGAUUUCACCGUAGGUUGUAGAUUUCUAUGACUAUUAUUGUAAAGUUAUGGUUAUUCUGCUGGAACAUCAAUAUCUCCUUAGGUGGUAAAAUUCCUAAAGUAACAAUGCCCAACGUCGAGCAACUGGUUGCUAGAGAUGCGAAAGGUAGAGUACUGAUGGGUAAGAGUUUGUUUUUGAGUGUUGUAUCUGACAUUUG